GACGAACGCUGGCGGCGUGCUUAACACAUGCAAGUCGAACGGAAAGGCCCUGCUUUUGUGGGGUGCUCGAGUGGCGAACGGGUGAGUAACACGUGAGUAACCUGCCCUUGACUUUGGGAUAACUUCAGGAAACUGGGGCUAAUACCGGAUAUGAGCUCCUGCUGCAUGGUGGGGGUUGGAAAGUUUCGGCGGUUGGGGAUGGACUCGCGGCUUAUCAGCUUGUUGGUGGGGUAGUGGCUUACCAAGGCUUUGACGGGUAGCCGGCCUGAGAGGGUGACCGGCCCCAUUGGGACUGAGAUACGGCCCAGACUCCUACGGGAGGCAGCAGUGGGGAAUAUUGCACAAUGGGCGGAAGCCUGAUGCAGCAACGCCGCGUGCGGGAUGACGGCCUUCGGGUUGUAAACCGCUUUCGCCUGUGACGAAGCGUGAGUGACGGUAAUGGGUAAAGAAGCACCGGCUAACUACGUG
rnacentral:rRNA from 1 species